GCAUCAAGGUUUAGAAUCAAAGGAGAAGAUAGAUGUACCGAGUCAGGAACUAAAGGAUAAGAAUGAUGAAAUUGAAGCAUUGGAGUUGCUGAACAUGACUCUGUUUAUCGUGGAAAGGAAAAGCAAUGAUCAGUUACAAGAUGCUCGGAAGGAGCUGAUAAAUGAAAAGGUUAUCUGAAGAGGACAUAGAUGCCACCUGUGCUCUCCUUCUCCUUUGUUCAAAAUGGGAAGAGGAAAUUAGAAACCCAAACUGGCACCCUUUUCAGGUUGAAAUGGUUGAUGGAAAAGAAAUGGAAUUUCUUAUAGAGGAUGAGAAGCUUUAGAAGCUAAAGCAAGAGCACGGCGAAGAAGCAUGUGCUACGGUGACAAAGGCCUAAGUUUCCCUGACCACUGGUACCCUGUCCACCGGCGCCUGUCGUUGUGCUUCCCAUCAGCAGCCAUCGUUGUGUAGAUUUGGCUGCAGCCCUCUCCCUCUACUAGGCACAGCUAAAAGACAGUUGCAGGUUUGGUAGUAGCUCAAAGUCCAUAUGGAGGAAGCCCAGUUGCUUCAGAUAUCCUGUGAGAGGGUAGCUUGGUGACUAUGUCAGAUUGCGUGAAAUCAGGGAGAUCUUGGUAUUGAAAGUCCGUAAGGUAUUUGCCUUGAUCAUUCUAGCCACUAACCAGCUUGCCUAUUAAUGAGUGAGUGUUCUUGACUCUAUUCGUUGCGUUAUCGUCAGGGUGAUGUGCAGGCUCUAGAAGAUCUGACCUAUGAAAGGAGGAAAGAAUUCCUGCGACAACAGCAUCCAUUGCCUC